rnacentral:rRNA from 1 species
AUUGAACGCUGGCGGCAUGCCUUACACAUGCAAGUCGAACGGCAGCGCGGGGCAACCUGGCGGCGAGUGGCGAACGGGUGAGUAAUAUAUCGGAACGUACCCUGGAGUGGGGGAUAACGUAGCGAAAGUUACGCUAAUACCGCAUACGAUCUAAGGAUGAAAGUGGGGGAUCGCAAGACCUCAUGCUCCUGGAGCGGCCGAUAUCUGAUUAGCUAGUUGGUAGGGUAAAAGCCUACCAAGGCAUCGAUCAGUAGCUGGUCUGAGAGGACGACCAGCCACACUGGAACUGAGACACGGUCCAGACUCCUACGGGAGGCAGCAGUGGGGAAUUUUGGACAAUGGGCGCAAGCCUGAUCCAGCAAUGCCGCGUGAGUGAAGAAGGCCUUCGGGUUGUAAAGCUCUUUUGUCAGGGAAGAAACGGGUCUUUCUAAUACAGAGAUCUAAUGACGGUACCUGAAGAAUAAGCACCGGCUAACUACGUGCCAGCAGCCGCGGUAAUACGUAGGGUGCAAGCGUUAAUCGGAAUUACUGGGCGUAAAGCGUGCGCAGGCGGUUUUGUAAGACUGUCGUGAAAUCCCCGGGCUCAACCUGGGAAUGGCGAUGGUGACUGCAAGGCUAGAGUUUGGCAGAGGGGGGUAGAAUUCCACGUGUAGCAGUGAAAUGCGUAGAUAUGUGGAGGAACACCGAUGGCGAAGGCAGCCCCCUGGGUCAAAACUGACGCUCAUGCACGAAAGCGUGGGGAGCAAACAGGAUUAGAUACCCUGGUAGUCCACGCCCUAAACGAUGUCUACUAGUUGUCGGGUUUUAAUUAACUUGGUAACGCAGCUAACGCGUGAAGUAGACCGCCUGGGGAGUACGGUCGCAAGAUUAAAACUCAAAGGAAUUGACGGGGACCCGCACAAGCGGUGGAUGAUGUGGAUUAAUUCGAUGCAACGCGAAAAACCUUACCUACCCUUGACAUGGCAGAAAUCCCGGAGAGAUUUGGGAGUGCUCGAAAGAGAAUCUGCACACAGGUGCUGCAUGGCUGUCGUCAGCUCGUGUCGUGAGAUGUUGGGUUAAGUCCCGCAACGAGCGCAACCCUUGUCAUUAGUUGCUACGAAAGAGCACUCUAAUGAGACUGCCGGUGACAAACCGGAGGAAGGUGGGGAUGACGUCAAGUCCUCAUGGCCCUUAUGGGUAGGGCUUCACACGUCAUACAAUGGUACAUACAGAGGGCCGCCAACCCGCGAGGGGGAGCUAAUCCCAGAAAGUGUAUCGUAGUCCGGAUUGUAGUCUGCAACUCGACUGCAUGAAGUUGGAAUCGCUAGUAAUCGCGGAUCAGCAUGUCGCGGUGAAUACGUUCCCGGGUCUUGUACACACCGCCCGUCACACCAUGGGAGCGGGUUUUACCAGAAGUAGGUAGCUUAACCGCAAGGAGGGCGCUUACCACGGUAGGAUUCGUGACUGGGGUGAAGUCGUAACAAGGUAGCCGUAUCGGAAGG